rnacentral:rRNA from 1 species
GUACACGCUGUGACUAGCAUAUCAAUAAGCGGAGGAAAAGAAACUAACAAGGAUUCCCCUUAGUAACGGCGAGUGAAGCGGGAAGAGCUCAAAUUUGAAAUCUUAAAGGGUUUCCCUUUACGAAUUGUAGUUUAAAGAAGUGUUUUCUGUUGAGGUUUUGGUAAAAGUUCUUUGGAAUAGGACAUCAUAGAGGGUGAGAAUCCCGUAUUUGACCUUUACUUUCAACUUUGUGAUACACUUUCAAAGAGUCGGAUUGUUUGGGAAUGCAGUCCAAAAUGGGUGGUAAAUUUCAUCUAAAGCUAAAUAUUGGCGAGAGACCGAUAGCGAACAAGUACCGCGAGGGAAAGAUGAAAAGAACUUUGAAAAGAGAGUUAAACAGUACGUGAAAUUGUCAAAAGGGGAGCGUUUGACACCAGUGUUGUUUUUCUGAAAAUCAAUUAAAGAACUGUUUAUGCUAAGUUGUUUAGACUUUAUCAGCUAACUGUUUAGUUUUGAGCUUUUCUUUAAUGCACUUUUCAGUUAACAAGUCAACAUCAAUUUCUUUCGCUGUAAAAAAGCUUGAGGAAGGUGGCUUGAGAUUCGUCUUAAGUGUUUAUAGCCUCUUGCCUAUGCAGUCGGAGAGAUUGAGGUCUGCAGCGUAGAUCCUUCGGGGCUAAAUGCAUUUGUGCUAAGUUAUAGCAUUUAUAGACAACUUGUUGACUAUGAUUUGUCUUGUAGCUUACUCGCUUAUGUUAUUUUACCUACGCUUAGGAUGUUGACAGCAGUAUAGACUGU